ensembl:lncRNA novel transcript
GGCGGCUGGAAUGUGAGCUUGAUUUCUGGCUGGGAAAACGGAGCCCAACUUCUAACAACAACCCAGGCCUCGGCAACUCCUUUCCCUUUGUUCACCUGGCAAGGAUACUGGACACAGAGCCCUUGGGUCUUGCUGCAAGUCUCAUCUACUGCAGUUUGCAGGAUGAACAUAAAGUGAGAGCUGCCCCAAAGGGCUGAAUGUCACGGUACAGGAGACGAGAUUUAUAGAGUGUUUUCCAACAGCUCCAUCAGCUCCAGUGCAGGAAAAAAUACAUGUGUCCCAGUGGCAAAUUCUAGUUGUUUUUCCCUUCUGAAGAGAUGUAUGAGAUGGCGAGCAAACACUGAACACAGAGCCAGCACUGGAUUAUGGAUGUUGUGGAAAGCCACCUAAAGCACAGGGGUGAGAGAAACACCCUGAAGAUGGUGAAGCAACAAGAUAAGAGCCUGCAUCCCUCAAAUUUUAGGAUUGCCAUAUCAGUCCUGAACUGCUUACACCCACACUGUUAAGUGAUCAUGAAAUAAACACCCAUCUUGCUUGGUGAAGGCAUUCUUACCUGGUGUUUGUGCUACAGGGGUUGAACCUACCCCGACCUAACAGGCAGAGCUCAAAAUGGACCCAGGUGGUGUGAUCCCAGAGCCCAUUUACUUAGCUCCUUCACCACCCUGCCUCCCAGGCAC